rfam:Ovis aries breed Texel chromosome 2, whole genome shotgun sequence.
UCCCUUGUAGCUCAGAUGGUAAAGAAUCUGCCUGCAACACAGGAGCCCCAGGUUCAAUUCCUGGGUUGGGAA